rnacentral:lncRNA from 1 species
AAAGGGUGUAGCUCGGUUGGUAGAGCUUUUGCCUAAGCAGGCAUAAAAUCCUGGGAUACAAUCCCAGCAUGACAUAAACCAUGUCUGAUGAUUCAUAACUGUAAUCCAACUCUUGGAAGGUAGAUGCAGGGAGAUCAAAAGUUCAAGGCCAGCUUCUUCUGCUACAUUGUUAUUCUAGUUUGGGAUCAACCUGGGUUACAUGAGAUUCACACACACUUCAUUUGCCAAGUGUUGACAUUUUAACAAGACAAGUUUUUUUUUUUUUUUUUAAACAAGACAAGUCUUAAGAUAAAGUAGAUCUUUAUCUUAAAGAUGAUUCUGCUUUUUCUUUAAGAUACAGAUGAUUUCUAAAUAGCAAUAACAGGGACGGAAGACAAUUUUUUUGGAAAGCCAUUUGUUUUUAUCAUGGUAAAAUAUGCAUGAUAUAAAAUUCCACAUUUAGCCGGGCGUGGUGAUGCACGCCUUUGAUCCCAGCACUUGUUAAAAUGUCAACACUUGGCAAAUGAAGUGUGUGUGUGUGUGUAUCUCCUGUAACCCAGGUUGGUCCCAAACUAGAACUAGCAAUGUAGCAGAAGAAGCGGGCCUUGAACUUUUGAUCUCCCUUCAUCUGCCUUCCAAGAGUUGGAUUACAGGAGGCAGAGGCAGGCAGAUCUCUGAGUUCGAGACCAGCCUGGUCUACAAAGUGAAUUCCAGGACAGCCAGGGCUACACAGAGAAACCCUGUCUCGAAAAACCAAAACCAAAACCAAACCAAACCAAACCAAACAAAACAAAACAAAACAAAAACAAAAAUAAUCAACAUUUUAGCCUUGUUAAGUGAAUAGUUCUUUGGCAUCAAGUUCUUUCACCAUCCAAUUCUAGAACGUUCCCAUCUUCCUUUACUGGACUUUGACCCAUCACACACUAAGCCCUCAUCCUAGCCUCUUACCAGGCUUGGCAACUGUCUGAUAAAAUAAAUAAGGCUUCCUACUCCUUAUUUCCCUGCAUCCUGGCCCACAGGGACCUGGGUUUACCACCCUUGUUUCUUGGGGUUUUAGAGCCAUCUCCUAGGUUAUAUUUCCUUCUGUAUAAUUUUCACAGGAUCACUUUGUUUUGUGCUGUUCAGAGGAAUAAGCUUGGGUAACCUGGAAAUGUUAUAGGCUGUCCCCUGUCUAUGGAUGGAUCCAUCCAUUCACGGAUGGACCCAUCAUUGAUGGACAGUGAGCUGCAUGCCUGUAGCUCUGUGAGCCAGGCCGACCCUCUGUAAGGAUGCCAAAGAAGGAGGUACGCUUCAUCAUGGGACAUUCUCACCUCUUCUCCCACGAGCUCUCUUCUGACUGAUGAUUCCCUGAUCCGUGAAAGGAAAAUUGGAUCAAGGACUACAAACUGUUUUCAUUGAAAACAGGUUGGUUAAGCUAUUGAGCCAGUCUGCCCAGACAUGAGUCACCGGCAGUUAAAGCCAGGUUAAAGGUAAUAAUAUUGCUGGAAUACAGCCUUUUAGGGCAAGCGUUCAACAAAAGCAGGGCUAAUUAACAAAGGGUGGUGGUGAUGCUGGGUGGUGGGACCUCAAGCAAUGGGAGACCUGGAGGCCAAACUCAGUCCAGACAGAUCUUAUUGGACCUGUGUGAGGUAUUUUUAAAUAUGAUUAGCUGGUGAAUUUGAAAAUCAAAUUUCUGGUUUGGGUUGAAAAUGUUGGCAACACUCCUAGAAUCCUGCCUGGUAAAAGAAAUAAGGUUUCCCACUCGUUAUUUCCCUACAGCCUGGCCCACAGGACCCAGGGUUUGCAACUCUUGUUUCUUGGGGGUUUAGAGCCAACUUCUAGGUUAUAUUUAAUAAGAUAUCAAAGAAACAAUUAAUUAUAGCUACAAGAUAAUUAAAAUAAGGAAACCUUUGAAAAUGAACAGAUUCUGUGGGUGUUAUUAAAAGAUGAGUUAAGUUUCAGAUAUACUUGAAAAGUUGAUAAAGUAAUAUAAAACAAUAUCAGUCAAUAUGUAUUUGUGUGUAUUUGUAACACCCUAACAUUUUCAAUCUGCACUCUGAACUUUCCCCCACACACACUGCAUACUAAAGGGUACUUUAUGCUUUAGUUAUGGGUUAGAUUUAUGCCUUUGUAUGUGGUUCUCAUUAUAGCUGAAUAAAUGUUAUGUUCUUAGGUAUAGUUAUUCAUGAUAACUUAUUUUCUGUUUUGGUUUCAUUAGAGUGUAAGUUUACGAAGAGUAGACAUCUUCAUUUGAUUUCCAGAGCUAAGGAUAAUUCCUGACACAAUAGCAGAAACCCAGUGGCUAUGGGCAGGGAGGAUGAACUCCCAAAUGUGUGUCUGUGACAGAACCAGUAAUCUAAGGUAUGUUACUUAUGUAAGCCACCUUCUUCAUAUUCAGGGAGCUCGUUAGAAUUAUAAAAAGAAGCCGGGAAGUGGUAGAUCACAUCUUUUAUAAGCACUCAGCACUCAAGAGUGGAUCUCUGCGAGUUCAAGGCCAGCCUGGUUUACAAACUGAGUUCUAGGACAGUCAGGGCUACACAGAGAAAGCCUGUCUCAAAAUUAGAAAACAAAACAAAACAAAAUUAUGGAAGCAAGUCAUAAACUGGGUAUGGUGGUGCAUGUGUUUAAUCCCAGCACUCAGAAGGCAGAGGCAGGUGGAUCUCUGUGAGUUUGAGACCAGCCUGGUCUAGACAGUGAAUUCUAGGGUAGUCAUGAUUACAUAACAAGGCCCCGUCUCAAGAACAAGCAAAUAAUUAAAAACUAGAUAUAAAACAGGAAACAAUAAGGUGUGUGUGUGUGUGUGUAUUUGUCUUAUUAGAGGUUCCUGAGCAAGUGACUUGUUUGUACUUUGGAAGUUCCGUGUCUUAUUACCUGAUUGAAAGACAAAUUCCUAAGAGGAAGUUGUUGGGGCUCCAGAGAAAAGGAAAAGCCUGGGAGGUUCCAGGGAUAAUAGUUGGGAGUAUCUCCUACAGGAGCAGAGACCUCAGGACUGGUUUGACUGCAACAAACAGAAAGUCAGUUUGAAUUCCUGUGAGCGAAAGAGCUUUAUUGGCCUAUAAAACUGAACUGCAGAGAAAGUAGAUGACGGGAACACUUGGCAGCCAAUGCCUGGAGUCACCCCACUCCCGUCUGCAGCUGCUUCUCUGCAUCCACUCCCUUUAUGAGGCUAGAGCCACAUCUGCCACCUCUCCCAGACCCUCAUCCUCCUGUCUGACCCCAGCCAUGACGAAACAUGCUUGCUUAGUGCCAAAUGCCUGUCACACUUUGUUUGUUUUGAUGGAUUAAAACUGAGAAAAGAGCACCCAUGGAAAGUCACAGACUCACCUUAUCUCAGAGCUCCAUAAAAGUCAUCCGAUGAUCUUACAGACUUAUCCAAUGUAUCAGACAUGUCUGGCAAUAUUCCCAACAAAUGAUCUUUCAACUAGCACUGAACCGCUUAUGCCCCAUUCAGGCACUCCACGGCACUGUAAAAAAAAAAAAAAAAAAAAAAAAAAAAACAAACGCUCCACGUUGUCACAGAGUUGUUCUUUACAGUCAGAUAACAUCUACCACCAGUUGAUAAUGGCCUUCCCCUUUGUACAUCUCACUACAUCAGAUGCUUGAAGAGGUCAUUGGCCAGUGAGUCUUUGCAGGCUAAACUUCAAUGUGCUGUCACUGUUUCUCAGGUGGCACGGAGUUGAACUCCCCUUGGAGUUAUCAAUGGGCUCUUUCAACCUCCAAGAGGUAUUUAGUGUGCACUCGUUUUGUUCUGAGCAGUUAACUAGGUGUUAGAAAGGACAGGCAUGGGAAGGAAAGCAGGCUCUUGGCCUAACGGAUAGCAGACUCCUGAAGAACAGAGGGAUAUCAUACGGGCAAUCCCACUAUAGGGCACCUUCCAUGAUUCUCUUAGAGUUCAGUGUCACAAUUGAAUGUAAUUGGAUUUCUGUGUGGUCCUCUUGCUAGGGUUUGGAUCUGACCAUCUCCCUAAGGUUUGGUUGAAGGUGAUGACGCUAUGGGAAAGAGGUGGAAAUUCUCCGAGGUGGGACCUAGAUAGGAAAGUAGGUCACUGGAGCAUGGUCUGAUUAGAACCUGGCCCUGCACAUUCAAGCCCCCAGUCCUCCUCCCCUUCUCUCCCCACCUCUCCCCUCUCCUCUUUUUCCUCCUUUGUCCUUCUCAGGUUCAGGAGAUGAAAGUCCUGCCUCACCAAACAAGGGUACCAACCAACCAAGGACAAACGUCUCUGAAGCCAGGAGCUAAAAUAAAGCUUUUCUCUUCUAAGCUGAGUUUUUGAGGGGUGAGGAUUGGGGGGGGGUCUAUUUUCUCACAGAAAUGAAAAGCUGACUCACUUCCAUGCAAACAGUAGGUGGUUAAACAGACCCAGAGAUUGGUUUUCAAAAGGUACAGUCCUUUGAAAGAACUCUUUUUUUUUUUUGGACAGGAAGUCCUUUUGAUUAUGAACUGAACUUGUGACUUGCUUUUAACCAAUAGGGAAGAAGGAAACCAUAUAAGUGACAGGGUGUAUGACACUGUCUGGCCUCUCUUUCAGUCUGGCUCAAUUCCUUGCCUACAUCACUCUGGCUCUCUUUUCUCCAGGUUCGGUAGGAAAAGAUUUCUUCAUCCUUUUCAGGGGAAGGUGUUUUUUAUUAGCACAAUAAGUUUUAUACACAUAAUAAAGGCUUUGUUACAUGACAUUUUCAUCUAAUGUAUAGGAUAUUUUUUUGAUCACACCACCCCUCUGUUCCCAACUCUCUCUUCUCAAGUAGCCCCCCGUCAUUGUCUGUCUGUUUUUGUGGCCUGUGAGUUUCCAGGUGCAUGGAUGAGAGACUGCUUACAGCAGUGUGGGCGCCUUAUCAGUGCUAUCGCACCGAAGUGACCACUACAGAAAAAUGUCUCUCCUUCAUCAACCCCUAACUUGCAGGCUCUUGAAAAGAUUCCCUGUGUUUUCAUCUAAAAGCUUCAGCCUUUCAUGUUUUAAAUUGAGGUCUUUGACUCAUUUCAAAUUGAUUUUGUGAAUUAUUUAUCUGAUUCCAUUUUUUUUUCUCCCAGUAGCUAUUCAGUUUUUCUAGCCCCUUUUGUUUAAUAGUGUCUUAGUCAGGGUUUUAUUGUUGUCAAGAGACAUCUUUUUUUUUUUUUUUUUUUUUGGUUUUUCAAGACAGGGUUUCUCUGUGUAGCCCUGGCUGUCCUGGAACUCACUCUGUAGACCAGGCUGGCCUCGAGCUCAGAAAUCCGCCUGCCUCUGCCUCCUGAGUGCUGGGAUUAAAGGCAUGUGCCACCAUGCCUGGCACCAAGCAACUCUUAUAAAGGCAAACAUUUUAUUGGGUCUGGCUUACAGAUUCAGAGGUUCAGUCCAUUAUCAUCAUGGCAGGAAGCAUGGCAGCAUCCAGGCAGACAUGCUGGAUAAAGGAGCUGAGAGUUCUACAUCUUGAUCUGAAGGUAACCAGGAGGAGAAAGAGGUUGAGCAUAGGACCUUAAAGUCCACACCCACAGUGACACUCUUCCUUCAACAAGACCACACCUACUUCAACAAGACCAUAUCUCCUAAUAGUGUCACUUCCCAUGGGCCAAACAUUCAAACCACCACAAAUAGGUUGUUCCCCACCCCAACCCCCUUUUUUGUCUCCUUUGUCAAAAAUUAGAUGGAAUUGAUGUCAGAGCCAUGGCUUAGUUACUAAGUGUGCUUGCUAUUCUUGCAGAGGACCUGGUUUGGGUUCUCAGCACCACGUAGUGUCUCACACAACCUGCCAUUACUCCAGUUCUGGAGGGUCCAGUGUCCUCUUCUGACCUCUGAAGACACCAAGUGCAACACGGUACACAUACAUACAUGCAGGCAAAACACUCAUACACAUAAAAUAAAUGAAUCUUGAAAAAAGAACCUCUGCUGUCAGGUAACUUCUUGGUCCUCUAGCCAACCCCCCUGGUCUACCAGUCUGUUUUUUAUUCCAGUGCAAAAGCUGUCUUUAUCACUACAAUCCAGUUCUAUAGUUUGAGCUUGGGUAUUUGAGUACUUCCUGCUGUAUAUUGUUUGACUAUUUCUGAUCUUUUUUUGUGAUUCCACAUGAAUUCUUGGAUUGUUCUGUUCCUAAAUCUUUAAAAUAUAACACCAACAUUUUGAUAAGCAUCACAUUAAAUCUGUAGAUUAAUUCUGGUAUCAGGAUGAGUGUGACUUCAUAAGAUGGAUUUGGUAGUGUUCCUUAAUUUUCUAUUUUGUGGAAUCAUUUAAGAAGCUUUGGUGUGAGGUCUCCUUUGAAAAUUUGCUAAAACUCAGCAAUGAACCCAUCUGGUCCUAGACUUUUCUCUUUUUUUGUUUUUUGUUUUUUUGUUUUUCGAGACAGGGUUUCUUUGUGUAGUCCUGGCUGACCUGGAACUCACUUUGUAGACCAGGCUGGCCUUGAGCUCAGAAAUCUGCCUGCCUCUGCCUCCCAUUUUCUUUUCUCUUAGGGGAGGGUUUUAAUUACAACUUCUAGUUCAUUGCUUAUAAUGGCCUGUUUACAUUAUUUCUAUCUUCUGCCUUUAAUUUUGUAGAUGAUAUACAUUUAGAAAUCUUCUAUUUUUCUUGAUUUAUUUUUUUAGAGUGUAUGUUUCAUAGUAAUCUCUGACAGAGUAUCUCUCAGUAAAGGGAACUAUCAGGCUAGCACACAGAUGGUCCAAAGAGUGGGAGAAAACCCUUUAUCAGCUAUAUUUCAAACAAGGGCUAAAAAUUUAGAAUUUACAAAGAAUUGCAGAAAUUAAAUAAGGAAGUAAAACUCAGUCAACAAAUGAGCAAAUGAAUGGAAUAGACAUUUUUCUAAAAAGACAAAAGAAACAUGUAUGGCCAGUAACUACUCUUAAAAUAUCCCUAGUCAUCAGGGGAAUGCUAAUUAAAAUUACUUUGAGAUAUAACCUCACCCCCAGUGGGGAUGGCUGUCAUCAAGAACUCUGACAAUAAAUAUUGGAAUGGAUGCAGAGAAAAAGGAACCUUUAUUUCUGGCCAGCUGGGAUGCAAAUUAAAACAGGCAUUAUGGAAAUCAGUUUGGAGGUUUCUCCAAAAAAUUAAAAAUAGAAAUGCCACAUGACUCGGCUAUUCCACUCUUGUGAUAUAUCCAGAGAAUUCUGUACCCUACCACAGAAAUAAUUGCACACUCAUGUUUGCUACACUAUUCACUACAGGGGAACAUAGAAACGACUAGAUAUCCAUCAACAUCUUUGUUGAAUGGAUAAUGAAAACCUGGCACACAUAUAAAGUGGAAUACUAUUCAGCUCUUAAAAAAAAAUGAGAUCACAAAAUUUUCAGAAAAAUGAGUAUCCCCUCAUGCCCACCCCAAAUGCUAGAUACCCAAACUUCUGCACAACCCUGAGAAAUCAGGGAAUAAUGAUUGACCAAGAUUCAGCGGCUCCCAGUCAAACCAGAAAGAAGUAUACUCACAACAGAAAUUCAUUUUGCAGGAAACUAUUUUCACAGUCUUGCUACCUGAGUUUGUGUGUCAAGCUAAGAUCUGAAAAAUUAAUAUCAUCUUGUGCAGUUCAUUUAAAAUAAAAUUCUAC